GACGAACGCUGGCGGCGUGCUUAACACAUGCAAGUCGAACGGAAAGGCCCUGCUUUUGUGGGGUGCUCGAGUGGCGAACGGGUGAGUAACACGUGAGUAACCUGCCCUUGACUUUGGGAUAACUUCAGGAAACUGGGGCUAAUACCGGAUAGGAGCUCCUGCUGCAUGGUGGGGGUUGGAAAGUUUCGGCGGUUGGGGAUGGACUCGCGGCUUAUCAGCUUGUUGGUGGGGUAGUGGCUUACCAAGGCUUUGACGGGUAGCCGGCCUGGGAGGGUGACCGGCCACAUUGGGACUGAGGUACGGCCCAGACUGCUACGGGAGGCAGCAGUGGGGAAUAUUGCACAAUGGGCGGAAGCCUGAUGCAGCAACGCCGCGUGCGGGAUGACGGCCUUCGGGUUGUAAACCGCUUUCGCCUGUGACGAAGCGUGAGUGACGGUAAUGGGUAAAGAAGCACCGGCUAACUACGUG
rnacentral:rRNA from 1 species